CAGCCGCCGCGGGAAUACGAAGGGUGCAAGCGUUAAUCGGAAUUACUGGGCGUAAAGCGUGCGUAGGCGGUUUGUUAAGUCUGUUGUGAAAUCCCCGGGCUCAACCUGGGAAUGGCAAUGGAUACUGGCAAGCUAGAGUGUGUCAGAGGAUGGUGGAAUUCCCGGUGUAGCGGUGAAAUGCGUAGAGAUCGGGAGGAACAUCAGUGGCGAAGGCGACUAUCUGGGCCAACACUGACACUGAGACACGAAAGCGUGGGGAGCAAACAGGAUUAGAUACCCGCGUAGUCCCUGUCUCUUAUAC
rnacentral:rRNA from 1 species